AGGAACAUUAUGAUGGCGAGCUAGCCCCAAGAACAAGGAGAACUAAAACUUUGGAACUAAAAACUGAACUGGCAAGAACUGUAAAAGAACUGCAACUCAAGCAACUGGAACAAAGGUUGAUCAUCUUGAAGAUCUUCAAACACAACAGCCCCAUUCUUUGGGAGCUGUCCAGUAUUACCAGAGAGCUGCCACUGGAUGAUCCUUUCUACGUGCUUACAUAUGGACACUUCAGCACAGCAGCCGCGGAAGCACGGAGUGCUUCUCGUUCACCUGCCCCAACUCCAAACAUUCCCAGAUGGACUGCGAGUGAGUCAAACUGGCAACCUCGCAGUCACAAACCCUCCUCACAAGCAUCGAGGCCACAGCUGCCUUCCCUGUUGAUUGGUAAUUUCUUCCUGUGGAAAACUGGAGGCUUCAAAACAUAAAGUGCACUCCAGAUGUUUGAAGUGUCAUAACACAACAAUGCAGAUGGUAGACUGACAGUGGGGUAGAUUUGACUCCUUGGUACUGCCAGCGAGGAUCUUUUGUGAUGACGACCAUAUGAGAAUUUU